rnacentral:rRNA from 1 species
UACGUAGGUGGCAAGCGUUGUCCGGAAUUACUGGGCGUAAAGCGUGCGCAGGCGGUUCGUUAAGUUCGUUGUGAAAGCCCCGGGCUCAACCUGGGAACUGCAAUGGAAACUGGCGGGCUUGAGUGUGGCAGAGGGGGGUGGAAUUCCGCGUGUAGCAGUGAAAUGCGUAGAGAUGCGGAGGAACACCGAUGGCGAAGGCAGCCCCCUGGGCCAACACUGACGCUCAGGCACGAAAGCGUGGGGAGCAAACAGG